GAAACCCGGUGAUCUAGCCAUGGGCAGGUUGAAGGUUGGGUAACACUAACUGGAGGACCGAACCGACUAAUGUUGAAAAAUUAGCGGAUGACUUGUGGCUGGGGGUGAAAGGCCAAUCAAACCGGGAGAUAGCUGGUUCUCCCCGAAAGCUAUUUAGGUAGCGCCUCGUGAAUUCAUCUCCGGGGGUAGAGCACUGUUUCGGCAAGGGGGUCAUCCCGACUUACCAACCCGAUGCAAACUGCGAAUACCGGAGAAUGUUAUCACGGGAGACACACGGCGGGUGCUAACGUCCGUCGUGAAGAGGGAAACAACCCAGACCGCCAGCUAAGGUCCCAAAGUCAUGGUUAAGUGGGAAACGAU
rnacentral:rRNA from 1 species